rnacentral:rRNA from 1 species
GACGAACGCUGGCGGCGUGCCUAACACAUGCAAGUCGAACGGGGUAAUCCUUCGGGGUUACUUAGUGGCGAACGGGUGAGUAACGCGUGAGAAACCUGCCUUUCAGUGGGGGACAACAGUUGGAAACGACUGCUAAUACCGCAUAAUGUUAUUUAAGGGCAUCCUUGAAUAACCAAAGCUUUAUGUGCUGAAAGAUGGUCUCGCGUCUGAUUAGCUAGAUGGCGGGGUAACGGCCCACCAUGGCGACGAUCAGUAGCCGGUCUGAGAGGAUGAACGGCCACAUUGGGACUGAGAUACGGCCCAGACUCCUACGGGAGGCAGCAGUGGGGAAUAUUGGGCAAUGGGGGAAACCCUGACCCAGCAACGCCGCGUGAAGGAAGAAGGGCCUUCGGGUUGGUAAACUUCUUUUACCAGGGACGAACACAAUGACGGUACCUGGAGAAAAAGCAACGGCUAACUACGUAG